rnacentral:rRNA from 1 species
GACGAACGCUGGCGGCGUGCUUAACACAUGCAAGUCGAACGGAAAGGCCCUGCUUUUGUGGGGUGCUCGAGUGGCGAACGGGUGAGUAACACGUGAGGAACCUGCCCUUGACUUUGGGAUAACUUCAGGAAACUGGGGCUAAUACCGGAUAGGAGCUCCUGCUGCAUGGUGGGGGUUGGAAAGUUUCGGCGGUUGGGGAUGGACUCGCGGCUUAUCAGCUUGUUGGUGGGGUAGUGGCUUACCAAGGUUUUGACGGGUAGCCGGCCUGGGAGGGGGAACGGCCACAAUGGGACUGAGAUACGGCGCAGACGCCUACGGGAGGCAGUAGUGGGGAAUAUUGCACAAUGGGCGGAAGCCUGAGGCAGCAACGCCGCGUGCGGGAUGACGGGCUUCGGGUUGUAAACCGCUUUCGACUGUGACGAAGCGUGAGUGACGGUAAUGGGUAAAGAAGCACCGGCUAACUACGUG